AUGAAAGUGAUGAUAUUUCCCCAGAUGAUUGACACUGAACAAACUGAGUGUUUUUAUUUCUCUUUUUCUUUAUUAAAAGAGAAUUCAAGCCAGGAAACUGAUCCAU
rnacentral:snoRNA from 1 species